GACGAACGCUGGCGGCGUGCUUAACACAUGCAAGUCGAACGGAGUGGCGAACGGGUGAGUAACGCGUGAUUAACCUGCCGUGUAGUUUGGAAUAGAUCAUGGAAACGGGUGGUAAUGCCGAAUGCUAUGCGAUGGGAUCGCGUCCUAUCAGCUUGUUGGUGGGGUAGUGGACUACCACGGCUUCGACGGGUAGCCGGCCUGGGAGGGCGACCGGCCACAUUGGGACUGAGGUACGGCCCAGACUCCUUCUGGAGGCAGCAGUGGGGAAUAUUGCACAAUGUGGCGAACCCUGUUGCAGCGACGCCGGGUGCGGGAUGUCGGCCUUCGGGUUGUAAACCGCUUUUAUUGGGGAGCGUGUACCUUUUGAAUAAGCACCGGCUAACUACGUGCCAGCAGCCGCGGUAAUUC
rnacentral:rRNA from 1 species